rnacentral:tRNA from 1 species
CAGAGAAUAGUUUAUUAGAAUAUUAAUUUUGGAGAUUAAAGGUAGGUUGUAAGACUUUUUUCUGA